rnacentral:lncRNA from 1 species
UCUGGUUCAAGAUCUGAAUAAAUCUUAUAGAUCUAAGAGUAUACCAUUUCUAAAUUUACUACUCUUUGGGUUAAACGUACCCCAAAUUUCAUAGGAAUAUAAAGAAAUAGGUUUGAUCAUGUGAUCAAAUAGAUGUAGACUGGUAGUAAUUUUUGGAUGUGAACGAAUAACAUCUUUGCAUAGUUUAUAAUAGCCUUUUAGACUCUUUUUGUACAAUUCCUGUCUUGCAUGAGAGAAGACCCCUGAAGCAGAAUAUAUAAGGCCUAAAUACUUGUAGUCCUGUACACAUUCCAGUUCAACUUGCUGAAGAG